rnacentral:lncRNA from 1 species
GAUGAUCAGCUAUGAAAAACUGCCUACUCAUACUCCUCAUGCUUCUCUUAUUUGCAAUACACAUAAACCGUAUGAAUGUAAGGAAUGUGGGAAAUACUUUAGUCGUAGUGCAAAUCUUAUUCAGCAUCAGAGUAUUCAUACUGGAGAGAAACCCUUUGAAUGUAAGGAGUGUGGGAAAGCCUUUCGACUUCACAUACAAUU